UUGGAUGAUCCAUCUAGAUGC
rnacentral:siRNA from 1 species